rnacentral:misc_RNA from 1 species
UGGGUGGAUUCCUGGAUAUG